rnacentral:rRNA from 1 species
UACGUAGGGUGCGAGCGUUAAUCGGAAUUACUGGGCGUAAAGCGUGCGCAGGCGGUUAUAUAAGACAGAUGUGAAGUCCCCGGGCUCAACCUGGGACCUGCAUUUGUGACUGUAUAGCUAGAGUACGGUAGAGGGGGAUGGAAUUCCGCGUGUAGCAGUGAAAUGCGUAGAUAUGCGGAGGAACACCGAUGGCGAAGGCAAUCCCCUGGACCUGUACUGACGCUCAUGCACGAAAGCGUGGGGAGCAAACAGG